rnacentral:misc_RNA from 1 species
ACCGAGGACGGCGAUUACCAGACCAAGCUCCGCUUCAUCAAGGGCUUCCUGGAAGAAGGCGACAAGGUGAAGAUCGUGGUCCGCUUCCGCGGCCGCGAGCUGGCGCAUCAGGAACUGGGCAUGGAAAUCAUGAACCGCCUGAAAGGCGAGCUGGCCGAACUGGCCAACAUUGAGCAGCACCCGAAGAUGGAAGGGCGUCAGUCCGUGAUGGUACUGGCGGCCCGCAAGAAGUAAGCGGCAAAGUUUUCCGGCAGGACGCGCAAGCGUCCGGCACUGAGAAGAAGUCCCGGCGCCACUCGUGCCGG